CCUACGGGAGGCAGCAGUGAGGAAUAUUGGUCAAUGGGCGCGAGCCUGAACCAGCCAAGUAGCGUGAAGGAUGACUGCCCUACGGGUUGUAAACUUCUUUUAUAAAGGAAUAAAGUGAGGCACGUGUGCCUUUUUGUAUGUACUUUAUGAAUAAGGAUCGGCUAACUCCGUGCCAGCAGCCGCGGUAAUACGGAGGAUCCGAGCGUUAUCCGGAUUUAUUGGGUUUAAAGGGUGCGUAGGCGGCCUUUUAAGUCCGCGGUGAAAGUCUGUGGCGCAACCAUAGAAUUGCCGUUGAAACUGGGGGGCUUGAGUAGGUUUGAGGCAGGCGGAAUGCGUGGUGUAGCGGUGAAAUGCUUAGAUAUCACGCAGAACCCCGAUGGCGAAGGCAGCCUGCCAAGCCAUGACUGACGCUGAUGCACGAAAGCGUGGGGAUCAAACAGGAUUAGAUACCCUAGUAGUC
rnacentral:rRNA from 1 species